AGUUCGAUCAAUUUUAAAAAUAUAUCAAAUAUAUCAUGCAGUGAUAGUGAAGAUACAGAUUAAUAUAUAAAAAAAUAAAAGGACUACUCAUGAUGACGUGCAUAAUUUAGAUGAAAUUUUUAUCUAAAUGUGUCUCCCACUAUUUUAACAAAUUUCAUAGCCCUCAAGUAUGAAAAAUGAGAAAAUCUAUCAUCUAGUUUCUUAGUGGGGUU
rnacentral:lncRNA from 1 species